GGUGGAUGCCCUGGCAGUCAGAGGCGAUGAAGGACGUGCUAAUCUGCGAUAAGCGCCGGUAAGGUGAUAUGAACCGUUAUAACCGGCGAUUUCCGAAUGGGGAAACCCAGUGUGAUUCGUCACACUAUCAUUAACUGAAUCCAUAGGUUAAUGAGGCGAACCGGGGGAACUGAAACAUCUAAGUACCCCGAGGAAAAGAAAUCAACCGAGAUUCCCCCAGUAGCGGCGAGCGAACGGGGAGGAGCCCAGAGCCUGAAUCAGCAUGUGUGUUAGUGGAAGCGUCUGGAAAGGCGCGCGAUACAGGGUGACAGCCCCGUACACAAAAGCGCAUGUGCUGUGAGCUCGAUGAGUAGGGCGGGACACGUGGUAUCCUGUCUGAAUAUGGGGGGACCAUCCUCCAAGGCUAAAUACUCCUGACUGACCGAUAGUGAACCAGUACCGUGAGGGAAAGGCGAAAAGAACCCCGGCGAGGGGAGUGAAAAAGAACCUGAAACCGUGUACGUACAAGCAGUGGGAGCACAGGUUUACCUGUGUGACUGCGUACCUUUUGUAUAAUGGGUCAGCGACUUAU
rnacentral:rRNA from 1 species